AUAGCUGGAUCACCAACACCGACACCUCCAGUACAACCAAGAGCCAGAACUUUUAAUAUGACGAUGAAAGAUGCUGUUCAGGACUCAGAUGUGGUUGCAGGUAUGCUUAUUGUGAAUUCUUUAGAUGCAAAAGUAUUAAUCGAUUCUGGAGCUACUAAGUCUUUUAUAUCAAAGAACUUUGUUGAUAAAUUGGCUUGUGCUACACAACCGUUAGAACCCAACUUAGUUAUAGAAGUGGCUAAUCAGGAUAAAGUAUCGGUUGAUAGUAUAUGUCCUAGUUGUGACAGAGAGAUAGAAUGUUGUCAUUUCUUUGCGAACUUGAUACCUUUCAAGUUAGGAGAAUUUGAUAUUAUUCUAGGAAUGGACUGGUUAGCAGACCAUGAUGCUCAAAUUGAGUGCAAGAAUAAGAAAGUGAGAUUAAAGUCCAAGGAUAAUAAGGAAGUCGUCUUUCGAGGACGAAAGCAAGAGAAGAAGUUUCUAACAAUGAUUCAAGCAAAAAGAUUAUUAAGACAAGGAUGUGAAGCCUAUCUAGCUCAUGUAGUCGAUGUUAGUAAGGAACCACCCAAGAUUGAAGAAAUUCCAAUUGUUAAUGAGUUUCCCGAUGUUUUCCCUGAUGAGUUACCUGGAUUGCCACCAGACCGAGAGAUAGAUUACCCUAUUCACGUCCAGAGGGACUGUAAAGUCCGGUAUGGGGAUUGUCAUUCACGAUUGAUUUGGCACCCGGAACUGAACCUGUGUCGAAAGCUCCUUAUCGAAUGGCACCUGUAGAAAUGAAAGAGUUAGCUAUGCAGUUGCAGGAAUUAUUGGAUAAAGGAUUUAUUCGACCAAGCGUAUCACCAUGGGGAGCGCCAGUUUUGUUUGUCAAGAAAAAGGAUGGGAGCAUGAGGUUAUGUAUCGACUAUCGUGAACUUAAUAAGUUAACCAUUAAGAAUAAAUACCCAUUACCACGUAUCGAUGAUCUGUUUGAUCAAUUAAAGGGAGCGACAUGUUUCUCUAAGAUUGAUUUGAGAUCCGGUUAUCACCAGUUGAAGAUCAAAGCGGAAGAUAUACCUAAAACGGCAUUUCGUACGAGGUAUGGACAGUUUAAUUUAUUUGUUCCUUAUAGUUACUUGCUGAGCUUUUGUAGCUCAUUCGGUUGUUUAUCUAACCCUGACAGCUAAGCAAGAGGAAGAUGGCCAGUCCUAGGUGCUCAGUUCGUUAGGCUGUCUACAUCCCCCUCUCUAUUUCGUUAGAUUACUUUACCAGCUCAGCUAGAGGACGCUUUGGAUAUAGUCAGUGGGGAGUAAGUAUGUUAGUAUGGACUGUUGUAAACAGUACCUUUGAGAUGUUUUAUAUAAUUCCAAGUCGGAAUUAUGGUUGAUGCUAUUUAUUAAGAGUUUGUAAUAAGUUUAUAACUUAUUAUUUUGGUUAGUAGUUGUAACUUGUUUCAUACCAUCACCUGUUAAAGAUCCUUGUGGUGUAAAGGGGUUGAGUAUUUAUAUUGCUAAAUCCAGGUUGUGCAUGUUAAAGUUGAUUUGUGACUCCUCAAUCUAGACCCCGGAUUGGGAGGGCGUCACA
rnacentral:lncRNA from 1 species